rnacentral:tRNA from 1 species
GCCGGCAUAGCUCAGUUGGUAGAGCACCUGAUUUGUAAUCAGGUUGUCCCGGGUUCGACUCCUGGUGCCGGCACCA